rnacentral:lncRNA from 1 species
UUUUUUUUUGAAGUGUUAUGUUUUUUUGAUAAUUUUGAAGGUGAUUAUUGCAUUGGCAACGGGUGCAGCAGGGUCAUCAACAGCCAUAGUGUAUUUGGCUCACAAUGGAAACCAAGAUGCAAAUUGGUUAGCAAUUUGCCAACAAUUUGGUGAUUUCUGCCAAAGGGCCAGUGGAGCCGUGGUGGCCUCCUUUGUCACGGUGGUGCUCUUGAUCCUCAUGGUGGUUCUCUCUGCUUUCGCUCUUCGAAGACACUAAGGUCGAGUUCGUUUUUAUGGAAAAAGAAAAAAAGUAUUCGCUACUACUUACAACACCUUCAUUCACUCGUUUCAUUGUAUAUUGGAAAAAUAAUUAGUGUUAUAUUGGAUUUGAAAUGUUAUGUGUUUCUUUUGUUUUGUUAAGGUGUGGAUGUUGUGUUUCUGUCUUUAUUAAAAAGGGGGAAUUUGGGAAGUCUUGUAAAUCAUAAUUGGUAAAUUCAGGGAAUCUAUAUUGCAAAUUAUGCUGUAAUUUUCAUAGUGAACUUUAUAUGUUGUACUUUUCAAUUUUCAUCCAUGUAUUAUGACUAUAUAUAUUUCAAUAUUCAUCUAUGUAUUCUCCGUAUUUUAACUUUCAUUAAGAGUAAAAUAUAUAUUUUAAGUAUUUCGAUUUUUGAGUUUAUUAUUUGAAUUAUUAGAUGUAUGAGUUUUUUAUCUGAAUUAUCACCAAAUAUUUGUAGAAACACACCAAACAAUGGUGAUGUUUCACGUAGAUAAAGUGAACAACUAAUAGUUGAAGCGUAUUUUGAUAAAUUUGGUGAUAGAUGAUUAAAAAUAGCAAGUAAAUAUAUAGUAUAUGUGUAUAAUCAUGUAUAAGUAAUAUAUAAUUUAUGUAUAUCUAUCUAUUUGAAAAAAGUAAAUAGUAAGUUCGACCGGCUAUUUAUGUAAAGAGGCCGUAAGUCCAAAUUCUCAAAUAGAAAAUUCAAGCCCAAAAUUUAAUUACUUCAAAGUCCAUCUCAUUCUUCACUUUGACAUUCAGCUUUCACUCUCUCUCUCUACGCAGCACAACAAUGGCUGCCUUGAGAAAAUUAUUAUUACCUAAAAAUACAAGUGUUGUAAUAUCAAACUCAGCAAUUUUCCUUUCUCGAAGAGGCAUAGCUUCUAAGCUAUUUGUUGGAGGUAUUUUUCCUUUUUUUUUUUUUUUUUAAAAUACAUGUAUAGACGAUUGUUUUUUAGAAAUUCAUAUGAAAGAGUUCAUUCUUGUAAUGAAUUUGUAAUUAUUUGAUUAAAAAAUGAUAUUUUUUUUGGGUUUACUUUGCCUCUAUAGUGCUGUUGACUAGGUAUUUAUGCUUUGCAAUUGGGUUUAUGAAGGGUUUAUGGGUCUGUUAUUGAAUAACGUAGUAAUAAAGAAGGGUUGUAUGCAGAUGAAUUGAAUUAUUUGUGUACUUUGAUUAUCAUAUUGUUUUGUUGCCAUGUUACUCUUUUCUGACCUGCUUUGAAAUGUUUUGCCUUGAGCAAAAGGUCUAUCGGAAAUAGCUAAGGAUAAGGUCUGCGUAUACUUUACCAUGGACCCCACUUGUGGAAUUAGGCGGGGUUUCUUGUAGUAGUUGUGAAAACUCUUGCAAAGAGGUAUGUUGGAUCCUCUUGGAGUAUUUAUUUAGAUGGAGAAUGAUUCUCCUCUGGCAAUCAAAAGAGGAGAAAAGAACCGAAACAUAGGAGCUAAUCUUAAAUCACCUACUCGAUUGACAAGCAGAAAUUUUCUUCCUAGUGUAUUUGCGUCGAGUGUAACUGCGUAAGCGAGAAGUGAAAUAACAAGUAUGAAGCAAGAGUUACUUCCGUCAUUAGUUAUAAAAUAUGUUGGUUAGUUGGAAGGACAAUCGUUUAAUUUUUGCAUCCAAGGUAUGGCCUAGUAGUGAGUAAAGUGGGUUGAGAACCACGAGGUCUCCGGUUUCAAUUCCUCGGAGGCUAAAACACUAGGUUAUUUCUUUCCACCAAGCUUUCAUAGACAGAGUUACCCGAUACCUUUGUUGGUGGGAGGUAGCAAGUAUUCCAUGAAGUUAGUCAAGGACCCAAGGUGCCCAUAAGCUAGUCUAAAAUCCCAUAGUUCAAAACAAAAAUAGGAUGGAUAGUCAGAGUACGCUGUGGAAAGGGGACUUGAAGGAAGAUUAGGACAAGAUCACACUGCUUUGGGUUUAAAACAAUCAGUCUUUUUCUCAUUUUAGGUCUAAAGGCAACCUUGAAAAACCUUUCUGAUAUUGCCUAAUUACAAUACAAAAUAUAUUCGAGAAGCUAUACAGUGAAAUUCAAUUUCAUUUUUUUAAAACAUAUUCUCUACUCUUUUGAGUAGAAAUGUAAACAAGCAUGAUCAAUAUCCUAAUUAGCAUAAGUAUCUGGAAAAGGAUGGACGAAAAGCAUUUGCAAUAGCUGAAACGAAGAUUCAGGGGUCCUUCUGUAAAAAAUAUCAUGGAACUUACUCCGCAUAUGAUUAGGACAUAGGUAAUAGAUAUUAGAUACUAUAGGCAGGCGUUUGGUUGCAAGAAAAGAGUCUAACCUCGUUAACUUCAAUUUAAAUGGCCAUUUAUCUUUCCAUUUAGAACUCUAGUUCUUUCAUCUGGUUGGUUUUUACCUGAAAUGGGGAACAACAUGGGGGAUAUAUGAUAGCUUCGGUUAGCAGUGCACUGUUUUCUGUAUUAGCUCUCACCUUUCAAAAUUCCUACUACUACAAUUUCCUCCGUUACGAUCUGACUUAUUAUAGUCCUGUUUUAGUCGAUCUAUUUAGUGGUUGGCACUUGGCUAACUGAGUUUUUACAAUGCAUCUAUAUCGCAGCCCCCAAAGAACCUCUAACGUAGCUUCUACAGAUAUUAUGACAUGACAAAUAAAGAGCAAUAUCAAUAAAUCUUCAAAAACUUUCUAUAUGUCUAGAGCAGCUUACUCAAUUUAGCACAACAUAGAUAAAUCAUCUUUAAUUAUCUUGAUAUCACAAAGAAGCUUUUUCCAAUUUGUUCCGUCGCAAUUUAUGUGACAAUCUUUCCUUUUUAGUCAGUCCCAUAAAAAUGACAUCUUUCUAUAUUUGGUCCAACAAAUUAACUUUUAACUUUCUUUUCACUUUAUCCUUAAUGAGAUGAUUCAUAGCCACACAAAUAUUUACGACUUAUUUUUAGACCAUAAGUUUCAAAGUCUUCCUUUCAUUCUUAAAACAACAAUGAUUUGUCUAGCUAUGAUUGUGUGGCCUUAAACAACUAUUACAGAGUUGAUCUUGAUUAGUUCCUCCACAUAGUCAAAUGGCUUAUUUAGAAAAUUAUCUAAGUUGUCAAGAUCUUAACUUUAACUGCAGACAAACACCUUACCAGUUGAAGAACUCCGCUACACUUGCCAUUUAUCAGUAUUUGAGGAUAGCAUGUACUUUCCAUGUGUUCAAGAUUUUAUACUUUAAUUACUUUCAGGAAACACAGGAAGAAUCACUGGUUUGCACUUUACAGUGUGGUUUCCCUAAUUGUGUUGGAACGAUGUUGUGAACAGCUUAUAUUCUUGUACUGCGAAACUGGAGAUAUAUGUUUCAUUCCUUUCAGAAAUAACCAAUCAACAGAAACAAGUUGUUGCCAAAAGGCUGACCAUCUCAUCCUAUUUAGAAGUCUAAAGGAGUACUCGUUACCCACUGCUCUGCCAUCGGAAAGAGAAAUGAACAAUAUAAAGAUCAUUGUCCACUUUAACCCAAAAAAAAGAAGAAGAUCAUAAUCGAAAGAAACAAACUUAUGAGAUAUUGUUAUUUCAGGCCUCUCAUUUUACACCACAGAGAAGGCACUGUCAGAGGCAUUUUCUCAACAUGGUCAAGUUAUUGAAGGUGAACAAAUAAACAUAUGUUGAGUUCUCUUUUAGAUAUAGUAGGACUUCACGUCUUUAGUUUAACCUUGUUUUAUUUACCAGCUAAAAUUGUGACGGAUAGAGUCUCAGACAGAUCCAAGGGUUUUGGAUUUGUCACCUAUGCAUCUGAAGAUGAAGCGGAGAAAGCCUUGCAAGAAAUGAACGGCAAGGUACGUCCAUAUUAUCGCUGUAUCUGUUUUUGAUGUGUACUAUUAUGUUCAUUAUUGUUCAAUUAUGCAUGUCGAAUGAUGCAGCCUCUUAAUGGACGAGUUGUCUUUGUGGACUACGCAAAGCCUAAAACUGAUGGUGGCGGCAUGCCAAUAGCCCGAGGUCCCCCUGAGCCACCAGUAGAACAAUGAAAGUUACCAAACAGACCACUCUGACUGUGUGCUGCUAGAGUUGCAAGCCUUGCUCUUGCAAAAUGAUUAAUCUGGAGAGCGUCGUUUCUCGUUUGGCCGGCAACCAAGAACUAUUCGAAUAUAUUGUAAGUCACCACUAGUCAAAAGAAGUUAGUUGUUUUUCAAAUAUGAGUGAAAAAUUUAUGUUACUGCAAUUGUAAUGACUGCAAGAUUGGCUCAAAUAUGAAAAUUAUCUGUCAUUAAUCUAUGCCAUUAUGUCAUACUCUACUAUUAGAACAAAAUAUAUGGAAAUCUUGCAGUAGUUAAUUUGCCACUAAUCUAUUCUCCCUUGAAUUUACUUUUUUUUUUUUUUUUUGCGAGGGUCAGUGGGUGGUUUGGGUGGGUAGGUGGAAGGCAUUAACUCAUAUUAUAUAAUUAUAAAUACACUUUUUAAAUUAAAAAGUCAUCCUUACGUUUCGGAAAAAAAAAAAGAAUAGCCUACUUUUGACUCCAACAAAAUUCCAUGUGAACUUGUGAAGGCUGAAAUGUACUGUUCUCUAAAAGAGGAAGUUGAAAGGGCAUCUAUUUACAAGUUUCGUGCAGGCAAGGAAAUUGAAAUAUUUUUCUUGAACGGAGGUCUAUCGAGAGGUAAGGUCCGCAUCCACUCUAGCUAUGCAGGCAAGGAACAAAUUUGGUGAUGAAAGGAUAGUUCCAGUGCACAAAGCAUCUCAGUUUCGGAGAAGGUUACGUUGUGAUGUAGGUAGCUUAUCCUACCAAAUACAAGCAUUAGUUACUGCUUUCAUGACUUAAAUUUGUGACCUAUUUAAUAAAUAACUCGAAGAUAAAGAUAAUUUUAUUUAAUCUUUUAACCUUCGGGGUGGCCCAGUGGUUUGAGCUUGGGACUUCCAUGUUGGAGGUCUCAAGUUCGAAACCCCUUGCCAGCGAAAGCAAGGGGUUUGCCUUCUGGGUCGAGCUCGUCGCACCAGGCUUGCCUAGUGCGGUUUACCUCUCCUAUGUGGUUUGCGAGCUAUUGCAUAGGAGCGGGGGCUUUACCCUGUGCGCACCCAAAGGGUAGCGGUUGCGGGUUUUCCUUGACAUCAAAAAAAGAUAAAGAUAAUUUUAUCGUUUCUCUAAGACUAUACAUUAAUGUGAUUGUAGAGCUGCAUUAACUCAUGAAUUAGGUGGUGAACUUUGAACUUUCAUAAUGUAACAUCGUUCUAGUUGUCCAACAUUAUUUAAUUGUAAUAGAGAAAUAAUGUUGUGUUGUAUUGUUUUCAUCGAAGUGAGAAAGACAUGUCCAUAAAUAUCUACUUACUAUAGAGCAUUUGAUAGAACUGUGCUUAUGAUUAAUGGGUGUCAAAAUUUUAAUAUCUCCCACCUUAAAAAUAAAAAGAAAGGAUGAGCUAUAUCUUUAUAAAAUAUACUCCCACUGUGCUAAGAUAGUAUUUGAUUGGAAAUGAAAUUCAAGAUAAAAAGAAAUUUUAAAAAAAAAUUACGAUUCAAAAUAAGUCAUAGACAUUUGUACGAUUAUAAUUCAUCUCACCAAUGGAAUGUGAAAUUUAAAAUUAUAUCGUUUAUAAAUAAGAAAAUUCGACCUUUUAUGAAACAAAGUAAAAAAGAUCACACCCUUUGGGUGCAAUUCUUUCUCGAUCCCUACUAACACGAUAUCUUUUGUGCACCAGACUAUUCUAUUUUCUCUCUCUUUUAUCUCAUUAUAAAUAUAUGAUAUAUACCCUUAAAUGAUAAUUACAAGUAUUUUUGUAAAUUAUAUAAAAUAUAUAUUUUUUUAUUUUUCUCUUUUUUUAUCUACUCAAACAAAAUAGAAAACACCAAAAAGCCACAAAAAUUGAUAUCCCAAAUGCAACACAUAAGCUAUCUAAUGUCCCUUCUCUCCUCAACUUCUUCUCUUUUCUUUCCCUUCUCAUUUCCAAAAACUCUUUAUACCUCUUCCUCCCUAUUUCACCUCUAUUAGCUCCAUUUCCCCUUUUACCCUCCAAUACCUUUUGUAAAAUUACCAAACUCUCCCUCCCAUUCAAAUGAGUUCCAUCCAUGUCCUCCACUCCCAAACUCACUUCCCUCACCUGCAUUUCUCCUACCUCAGAUCCACCGCACGUGACCACUAUCUCACACUGCACGUGACCUCUCUUUUGAUCAACGGUCAGGAUUGAAGUAAAACGUACCUGCACUUCACCGGUUAACCAGUGCCGUUGUACGGAAACAGACUUGAAGGAGGAGAGGUUUAUCGAUCGCCGGCCGAUCGGAUCAAUCAGAAUCCAACUCAACGUCAUGUGUUCAAUCAGAUCCGUACACGUGUCGUCGUCGCUCGGGUGUUUGAUUGGCGUUGAAAUCACCUCCUUUGGAUCUAUCAUGUCGAUUCUGAACGGCGAGGAUUGGAACCAACUCGACGUCGUUUCAGUCUCUUGUACGUUACUGAAAAUCGCUUUGUUUUUGUAGUGUAUAUCGACGGCCGAUAUUAAUUCCGGCGGUGAAGAUGAACGGUUUGCAAUUGAAUUUGUCUGUUGAAUAAUCCACUGUUUCCGAUUCCGAUCAAACAAACACACGGAGAAAAAAUUCGAAAGGAUUAUAUAGAUUGUAGAUCUCAGCGACGUCAAACUCACUGACUCUAAAUCGUGAAUUUGCUUAUUCUCGGAGGAAGGGAGAGAGAAGGACUGAGAGAAGAAGGUACGGUGACCGGCGUCGGGGAAGGUGGAGAUGACGUGGCUGAUACGAGGAGUGGCGGUAGACGGCCAAGUGGAGUGGCAUGCCCGUGACCAUAGGUGGUUUUCUGAUGAAAGGCGGUGGAGAGUGGCAGAGGAACAGCUGGUGGAAGCUAGAGUUGGUCCGUCGAGUCGAGUGAGGAUAUGAGCUUCGAUGAUAUACGGAUGCAAAUCGGGAAAACCGGUUGCGCCGCCGUCUUCCGCCGUGACGGUGGUGGUGGUGGUGAUUGGUGGGCUAUGGAGUGAGGAAGUCAUUUGAGGAGUGUGAAAUUUUGGCUUAUUGGGAGUUUGAACUUUGAAGUUGUGUUGUAUUUAUAGGUGCCUGCAAAGGGAAAUGGAAAGGGAAAAAUUUGGGGAAAAUGCCCUUUGUGUUUUCAAUAAUUACGGAAACUUAGUUAGUCGCUGCCACUGCGUGGACUCGUGAAUAUACGAAUUUUAAUCCUAAUAUAUCAUAGUUUCUUUAUUUAAUGUAUCACAUAAUCUGUUGUUUUAUGAAGUAAAUUAGUUAGGAGUUUUAAACUAUACGUCCCAUCAUAUAUACUUUACAUAAACUAAAAUAUCAAUAAUAACAAUAUAUUUAAUAUAAUUCAACAAGUGAAAUUUGAGUAAAGUUACGAGUAUGUAAUCUUACGAAGAUAAAUACGUUUCUAAUAUGACCUCGAAUUAAAUAAAACAUAACAAACUUUAUGUAUGAAAAGAAAAUAUAAUAAUAAAAAAGUCAUAACAAUAAUAAACUAAACAAAUAUCGACGUUCAAAUUUUAAUUAAUUACUUGACUCUUAAAUAUAGCUUUCGUGGGUGGUCCUGAAAUAGAAGCCAAUGGAGGGGGAAUUACGUACAUGAUCUUAAUAAAAUAAUAAUAGAAGUACAUGCAGGAGUCCACAAUAAUAUUGUUAAUUGCCGGUGUUUUAACGCUAGCCUUGUGUUUACUUUCUUAAUUUUAUCCUAAAAAAAAUAUGAUUUGAAUGAAUACAUAUAAACCUUAUAACACGUAUUAUUAUUUUCGUUUUAAUUUGUUUGAUCUAUUUUUUUUGUUAUAAUUCAUUUGAAAAGUCUAAGAGUAAAAAAUUAGAUCAAGCAUAUUGAAAUAAAAAAAUAAUAAUACGUAUUAUAGAAUUUAUAUAUAUUUGUUCAAAUCAUAAUUUAUUAUUUAUAUAUCGAUCACCAAAAAGUCUACAUCAUUAUUUGUCAUGUAUUCUACUAUUGUACUAACCCUUUUUUUUUUAAUGCAUUACUUGUGUAACCCACUUUCUUUUCUCUUAAAAAAAAUGAAAGAAGGAAGAAUUAUUAUGUACUCUUUCUGUUCCAUUUCAUAUAAAUUACUUUGACUUAACAUAAAGCUUAUGAUAACAAAUAAGAUUUUUGAAAUUUGUGGUUUAAAAAUAAAUAAUAGAUGUUUGUGUGGCUAUAAAUCAUUUCAUUAAGUGUAAAAUGAACAUUUUAAAGUUAAAUUAUUACUUAAUAUAAAUAUAUAUCAUUUUUUUUGUACUGACUAAAAAGAAAAAUAAAUCAUAUAAAUCGAGACAAAGGGAGUAAUAUUUUUUGUCUCAAUUUAUGUGGUAUAGUUCAAAUUUUGACCGUGAAUUUAGACAUAAAAUCUUUAAAUUUUUUGAAAUAAAAUUUACAUAUUUGGAAACUACAUAAAAAGUAUUUUUAUAUCAUGAUAAAUGACAAUUCAAAAUAUUAAAAAAUAUAUGAAAAACUACUAUUAAAGAAAAACUCAUUUGAAUUUCCAAAUUCAUAAAGUACUACAUAAAUUAAGACGGAGAAGUAAUGUGUUACUAUAAGUACACGUUUAAAAUUCGAACUUUGCAUCAAGGAAACUAACUUUAAUAUUUAAGAAGAGUUUAGAGAAGUAUAAAAAACGAGCUUAUCGUCUUUGAGUUUCAAAGGCUGAGUUGAUAAAAAAAAUUUAGCUACAGAUAAAUUUUUCGAUCAUAAAAAAAUAAAAGAAAAAUAGUCAAAUUAGAAGUCGUUUUCGACGUGCAUCACACUGUAAAAAAAUAUAAUUGGGUUUCUUAGUGGUUUGACUAAUUGAACUCUUUAUUGGAUCUUUUUUGUGAUAUUUUAAGUUAUGAACCCCUGUUGGUUCAAGUAUUUAUCUAUGACUUCAUAUUUCAACUUGGCAAAUUGUUAUAACUUAUAUUAGAAUAAAAAAAAUAAAGGUAUUAUGAAUUCUUUACUUUUAAGGUCAAUGGGUGCUUGUAUAACUGUUUUUUAGUAAUCAUGUGUUCAAAAUAGUAAUCUCAAAAAUUGAGAAAGUAAUGUUAACUUAACUUUUUGAGCCCACAAAUAUCAUUGUGUGUCCUUAGGUAUUUGAUGCAUUGAAUUAUUUUUUCUCAAAGAUAAAAUAUAUAUGCUUGUUAUUAAAAUAGUGAUAUCUUAAACGUUAAUAGUUUUACUGAACUUGAAGACAUGAGUAACAAAUCACAUAAAAAUUCGAUAUUUGUUUAUAAGAAAGUAUGUAGAAAAAGUUCAGAAAAUUGAUUCCGAAAAUUUAAGCUAUUUCUCUGAAUUUAUAGCUAACGAAGGAUAAGGUGAAUUACAUGUACUAUUAUGUCUUAAUGAAAGAGUCACAAUCUAUUCAAAAUAAAAUUAAAAUUAAAUUCAUAGGUUAAUUUAUAGUCGUCUAAUAUAUGUUGUUUACUAGUCAUGAAGCAAAAUUUUCAAAUAAUAACUUAUUUAUCCAUUCUUUUCAGAUUUUUAUGGGUAAAAAAUAUUAAAAAUAAAUUUGUAGGAUAUAAAAUUAAGUACAAAAUACAAUAUAACUAUGUCAGUCUUCGUUUUGGUCCCGCUUUCUCCUAUCUUAUAUUAAUCUAGUGGAGAAUUAAAUUUAAAGUUUGAUUAUUCACCAAUGACAUCUUUGGUACUUAAAUCUAAAAAAAAUUGCAGCAUGAGACAAAGUAUUUUUGUGUAUUAAGUUGUUCACAAGGGUCAACUUGAUUUCAAUCUUCGAAAAGCCACUGAUUUCAACUAUCGUUUAUGUAUGAUUCAUACUAAAUUUGACCAACUGUAAUUUUGUAUUAGAAUUUGUUUUAGCGAAGUAGUUUAUGUAUCACCUCCUUUAAUAUGUACAACUACAUGUAUCUAUUUAUUUAAAUAAUUUUAUAUUUAAAGUUAUCUCUGAGUUACUAGAAGGUAAUUAGACUACAAAUCUCCUUACAAAUCAAGCUCAGGAGUAAAAAGUAACAAAUGAAUGGGUUGGAUUAAAUUUGAAUGGAUCAAAAUUAACCGAAUUAAUCUUAACAUAACUUAUUCUUCCUUUCAUUAUUUCUCUAUAGAUACUCCUCAAAGGGACUCUAUUCAAUUUAUAAACGACCAUAAUAUAUCACUUUUUCCUUAAUAUCUAUCUUGAUUGAAUUUUUACAAAGGAAAUUUUGAAUGUCUUGUGCUUCUCCAAUUGGGGCAUUAUGUGUUUGGCAAUAGCAUUAAGUUUGAAUUAGAGCCCGGUUGGAUUGGCUUAAAAAAAUAGAUUUCAAGUCAAAAAUAAAAAGUUAAACUUAAAUGACUUUUAUAAAUCUUUAAGGUUAUGAUUUCUUAAAUUUUUUCUUGUUAAAAUUCUUAUAAAUAUAAUUUAAUUGAAUUAAUUGAUUAUUCUUUGAAUUACCAUGAUGUUUCACCUUAUUUAAAUAAAAUAAGGAUGUAAAUAGUAUCUACGUUUAGUUUUAAAGUAUUUUUUAGUCUCAUAGUCCACUAAUGUAUUAUAAGGAUGUUCAAAUUAAUUCAUAAAAAAAUGUAUCAAAAUAUUUUCAAAUACAUUUUAUUUAUUUAAUAUGUUGCAUACGAUCUACAGGCAUAAUAAAAAUAAUUUUAUUAAAUACCAAAAAUUAUAAAUUGAAGACCAUUAAUUACUGGGUGAUUGUGAAGAUGGACCUUGAUUAGAAUUAUUAAAAUAUCAUAAUUUUGAAUUUUUACUCUUUUAAGUUAAAAAUUGCUUGAUCUCUUGUGAAACGGAGCGCCGAUAAAUAUAAAAUAUUUAUCAAAAUUUACACUGGCAGUAGGAAUAAUAUAAUUAUAGAUUUCUAUAGUUCACAUUUUCAUUAUAUUUGUCACUUCACCAGAUUUGAAUGAACGAAGGUGAGGCCCCAGUAUCCAUCUUUCCCCAAUCUCUUUUGGCGGAGCUGCUUCACUACGGGUAAGUUAUCGGUAAUAAUUAUGCACAUUAUUGUAAAAAAAUUGGGUUAGUGGAACGAGAAAUAGAGUAGGGGGAUUACAAGCUGCGAAAUCAUAUCUUAAGGUGAAAAUUCAGGUAGUUAAUCAACUGAGCAACUGAGAUUUACCUCUAAUUGUGCAUGUUGGAAUAAGAAUUGUGUACAGUUUAUUUGUGAUGACAAUGUGUUUGAUGAUUUGCCUGAAAGAGAAGAUACACAAACAUGAACUAAAUGUGAUAUUUUUGGAAUGAAGUGUUGUGCACUGGAUGUAUUUUGUAUACAUGAUUGAACUUGCAACAAAGCUGAUCUGUUUGUAGUUCCAUAGGCAUUCUGUUUUAACAGAGAAGUGUGUGUAAUUAUUUCCUUCAUUGGUAGAUUGUUAACAUCAAACAAUUUAUUUAUAAGUCUCAUAAAUGACUUUAGGAUGUUAGAAUUGAUUUCGUGAUGAACGUAGGAAGACGGUUUGAUCAAGGAGACAUAUUUUGAUUCAUCGUGAUUUUUCAAUGACAGUUAAACUAAAUUUCUCAUUCUUGCACCCUUUCUUCUGUUUUAUUUCUUAUGGAAACUAACUAGUUCUUUGGUUAGCGAGAGAACUAGUUACUGUAGAUUGUUUAUUUCUUACGUUGCAACCUGUAAACGGUUAUUCACGUGUGUAUGUGUGUUGUUUGGUCAUGUACUAACUCUGAGUUUACGCAUUACAUGUAAUGGUACUUCAGGACUCAAAAUGAAGGUGAAGGUAGUUUGGAGGAAAGUAUCUGAUUAUGUUCGAUACGAUCUGAAGGAGAUUGCUUUUCCUUCAUCUUUACCGGACCCUCCUCACUUCAAAAAACGUAGGAAACUAACUUUGAAGGAGCGCUAUCUUGUGAGUGUUUGCUUUAUUUUUCUUUCUGCUAAAAUCUUUUGGUAAUGAAUUUUUAUGAUGCAUUUAUCAGUAAUUACUGUCUAAUCUUGGUAGUAUUGAUUCAGGUGCUUAAGGAAGCGUCUAGGCUUUAUGCUGCAAGCUGGGUGAGGGACAUUGGUCCUGAACUUCGGCCCAAUGAUUACAAAAAGAAGCGUGAGAUUGAAGGCGAGUUGGAUGGAGGGAAUGGAAACGGAAAAGAGAAGGAGCCCUCAACAUUGGAGGAUUUAGGUAAAAUAUCUUACUAGUUGUCUUUCAUGUAUGAUUGCUUUUUUUCAAUUAAAUACACGGAAACUUUAGAUAUGCUGGAUCAAUAGAGGUACUUUUUGACUCAAAAUAUUGUAAACGAUAUGUCCGUAUAUACAUUCUUCCUACUUCUUUCUGGUUUGAAUGGUGUGAGUCAGUGAUAUUAAAAGCAAAAAGUGCAAAAAAGUGACAAGGUCUAUAGGGCUUGAAGUGAAAAGUGAAGCGCAUGUUUCCUUAAAUGAAGCACACAGUUGUUGUUUGCGAUUAUAGUUAUAGUUUCUUGCUUUACAUAUAUGAUUAUUUGAUUUGUCUUUCGUUCCAGUGUUAUCGUUUGUCCUGUAUGUUGAUUUCAUUACUGAAUUUCAGCUAGUCACUUUUUUUUCUUGACCGUCCACAUAGUCUUCUUGGAUGGAAUUAUAAGUAGGGUGUGUAAGCAGUCAUGAAUAAGUGUAUUCUAUUUUGAUCCUUUUAAAUUUUAACCUAAUCUCUGAGGUCCUAGUUCUUGAAACUCAGAAUGAGAUAUGAUUAUAUGCUCCACAAAUCACAGAUAAUCAUAGCUUGUAUACUCCCAAAUCCCAACGAUUUCAUCCUCAAAAAUUUUCAGUCGCGAACCCUUAAAGCUGAAAGCUUGGGUGACUUUGAGGAUGUAUUCCUGGAUUGACUUAAAGUUCUGUUAUUUUAAAUUAUCCUCAGUAGUUUAGGUGUUAACAAUCACGUAGCCUCUUGAGAACUUUGCCAUGAGAUUUUAUUUUUCUGCAAUGAUUCUGUUAUAACAUGCUCCAAGAAGCUUUAUAUCUUAUUUUCACGAAAACUCUGCAAUAAUAUAUGUUGAAAAUCAACAGACUUAUUGGUUUUAUCCAGCUAAAGUUUCUCCCUAGUACUUUCUGUACAUAAAUCAUUUCGGUCAUGUUAAAAUUGUUUCUGAAUUGAGUUAUGAAACAACUGCACGUUUUGUCCGUAGCUGUGGCUGCAAGAGGCGGAAUGGAGACACUACGACCAGCACUGCAACGAGUUUACAUGACGAGAGCUUCUGCAUAUAAAGAUGCACUUAAAAGUUUCAUACAAGGAUAUCAAGAAGGUAUCCAACAAACAAUGGAGAAAACUAAAGACUCGAAAUCUUCCGAAGACACUGAUGCAUCCAAUUCCAAAGGACCAACUUGAGUUCUAAUGGACAAUUUGUGAGUUAUCUUUUGCAAUACCUACUGCAAGAACUUGUUCGAUGUCCUCCCUUGUUUCUUUCGAGUAAUCACAUUAAGGAGUAUCUAUUUCUCAUUUUUGUACAUAACUACGGUGAUAUAAGGAAUGAUAUUUACAUGAACAAUACUCGGGUAUGCUACCAGCUUCUGGGCGCUCUCUUUCUGUUCAUUUUUCCUUUUGAUUAUCUUCUUCUUUCCAACACAUAUUGGUAGAGUGAUUUCAUCUUAUCUAAGUCUUGUGGCAGAAUUACUCGAUACUUAUAUCGGUUAGAAGUAAUAGUCGAAAUAUGCACAAGAUAAUAUUGACACCAUCACUAGUAAUAAGAGGAGAGGGAGGCUGGUUAUUAGCACCUUUGAUCCUUUUGGGUUGCCAGACCUUGGGUAGCUAGUGGCGCUUCGUAAUGGCUUGUGUAUAGUCCAGCGACUCUCUUUGCUUAUCUCAUCCACUAAACUAUCGAGACAAGUUCAGAAUGUUACCUUAGCAGAAACUAGUUUGUUCAGUUACAAGCUUUCUAAUAGUCAAAUUGUGAUAGAAUCUAAAUUGCUCAGACUCUCCAAAAUUGUUGCCGCACCCGUGUCGGAUCCUCCAAAAAUGCACUACUUUUAAAGGAUCCGACACGCCUUCAAUGAUAUUUUUGAAGAGUCCGAGCAACAUUAGGAUAGAAUGAAAUAGAUUAGUGUACUGUUAGUAAAGUUUGAUGGAAAAGGUCUGUGAUUUUUACUUUUGACCUACUUCUUGAGAAUUGAACUUAGAGUUCACAGGUUAGAUUGAUGAGUCUUUUCAACAGUUUUUUCAUAGGAAUCAUCAAAACAUACAAGUAAUAGUAGUACAUUGAACAGAGUGUUGAACAAAAUGAAUUAAGCUGUUUAAACUGUUAGUUGCUUUGAAUAGAUGUCAAAUAGUAUUCCUAAGACACUGUGUCUGUCACUGACAACAGAGUACACUGCCAUCUUAUCAAAGAAACUAAGUCUCCACCAUAUUUCUUCUUGGUGAAGAAGCCCUAGGAUUCU